GUGUACAAAAACAACAUGAAAUCACUCCAAGAUAUAUUUAGAUAAGCGUGUUUUCACUUUAUUUUUUGGUAUUGGUAAAAUAUAUUGGCAGGGGAUCACACAACAUGCACACAAAAUAUUGUGAACCAUCGUGUAUUGCCAUCCCUGAGGAUUAAGGGAUCAUGCUUCUGUACUCAAGACCCUUUUCACCCUUCAAUCUGAAAUGGUCACACAACCACAGCUGCUUGGUGACAAAAACAAAUGUAUCGAAAAUUCUGAUCAUCUUGUUCUAAAAACAUAGUAAAGCGUGCAGCAAUAAAACAAGUUGAUAACCUAGAAAUAAGAUACGUUUCAUCAAUAUAUAUUCAGUUCCAGAUUUUAUCGAGUUUGAAUACGGUACUUACUUGGCCGUCGGUCAUUCUCAACCCAGGAUAUACCGGACCCGUCUCAGAGUAGAUUGUUUUAACAACUGUCAUCACAAGAUAUGAUAAUGGCCGGCUUAACCCAACAGCUUAACGUGACUUCUAAUGCAUGAGAUGGAUUGUAUUUUCUAUCUAAUUUUAUCUUGGAGGGACAUUGCUGCCCAUUCCUCGCCUUCGCUUAAUCGCUUCUUACGACAUCCAUGGAAAAGGAAGGGGUGGCCUACUCUAUGCUGGGACCACACGGCGCAUAAGAUGUUCCAGUAUGAUGUUCGAAAGCAUUAUGGCUUCUGAAAAUUCCCACAGGAACGAGACGAGAGAGAGAUAUCUGGACGGAACUGUGAGGUAUCCAUCUAGUCAAGUAAAGUAAUAAAAUAGAAGGACAGAUAAUAAAAUUGUAUUACAGUAGUAGAAAUUCAGCCAGUAGAAAUGCCUCAGAGAUUGGUCUAAAUUUAGUGUACCAGUAAAAAUUGUUGACUUCUUUUGGAAAAACAUUUUAAUAGCUGUGAAAAACAUUUUUUAAAUAUUGUAUAAACAUAAAAGAUUUAUUUUAUAGAAGAUAGUACAUAUUAUAGAAAAUAACGAUUGAAACCAUAUAUAUAUCAACAUACAUAGUUGAUACUUUUAGGUGAAAUCUCAGAGAUUUUGGUUAAAAAUAAGAAUAAAAACUAUUGGUUAAAAAUGGUUACUUUCUGUUGCUAACCGGUUAGAUUUGUCUGACAAAUAUCAUUUUAAUAAAGUACUACUUCUUUUU